GCACAUGGAUUUUUAAUGCCCUCUAGCCAUUGAUGUUGCUCUUCACGAUCCUCGUUGUGGUCUUGGUGACUCUUAUGCAUGGGAUGUCUAGAGAGAUUCAUAGGAUCAUUGGGAGGUUCAAGAGAAAGAGCACAGUAGAAAUUAUUAGGCUCAAGGAUGGGUUGGAUAGCCGAAUCAUGGGAUUGAAAUGUUUGGAAAUUGGCUAUUGAAACUUCCUUUCCUCGUCUAGGAGAUGAUUCCUUCUCUAUCUCUAGGAUUUUUUAUGAAGAAUAGUGCAAGAAGGAUGUCUAUGAAUGAAGACAUACCUUACUUAACUAACAGAUAAAGAAAGAAAAAAUCUACCAAAGGUUAUAUGAUUAAAACCAAUGUGAAAAUAUCGAGAAAAAACAUGGUCUUGUAGGGCUAGGUUUAAACCAGAAUCUAUAGAAAGAUUAAAAGAUUCCCUAGGUGUAGCUAAAAGUUCAUUAUCUUCUUGAUUAAAAGAUAGGACCUCGGCUAUAGAAAAGGGUUGGUUUUGACCUAUUGCAAUCAACUCUGGACACAUAUCAUAAUUAGGGGUAGGACUUGUUGACUCCCAAGGUCUAUGGCUGGUCUCCGAAGGUGCAAAAAAUUCAAUAAUAGGUAUGGAGUUUAAGUUAUCCAUAAAGAUGGAAAAAAAUAAAAAGAUAAAAGAAUAAAAGAAUGAAAGUAUAAUACACGAUAAUAGCAAGACCUAAAGUUAUCUCAGCAAACCGUCUUUCUCCCCGGCAACGACGCCAGAAAUGCUUGUUGAUAUUUGGUAACGCCAUCAGGAAAUGAUCCGCAAGCGCAUGGAUAUCGGUGAGCACUUCACCCGGGAGGUUAUCCAAAGUAUCGUAUUUAUAUUUUUACCACUAGGAGAAUGCGUGCAUCUGACUAACCAAAUCUAUUGCUACUACCCUUUAGGCUACAAAGAAUGUGAUUCGAUGUGAGUGAUGAAUAGAGAAGACUACAACCGUAGUCUCAUUCUAGCCUUGGUAAGGAUGAUCUACUGUUCUAUUGGGGAAGCUCACGGAAUCUAGACACCACAAAGGAUGUUCGACCCGCACCUAUAAACCCUACCCAUCCCGCUAACGAGAUGUGGGCUACAAAGGUAACUUAGAAAUGUCACGUUCCUCGCUACUACCAC
rnacentral:lncRNA from 1 species